rnacentral:tRNA from 2 species
GGAGAGAUGCCGGAGUGGUCGAACGGGCCUGACUUGAAAUCAGGUAGGCGGUGACGAACCGCCUCGGGGGUUCGAAUCCCUCUCUCUCCG